AAAACUGGAGAAAUAAGGUGGAGAUGUAACAGUUAAGUCGUGUUGUGCUAGGUUAUUCACAGAUGAAUCUUGUACAAUUAUUUUGAUUGGAAAAUUAGAUUAUAUGUCAUGAAACAAAAGUCCAGAAAUAAGAACGUCAAAUUUUGAGAACUGUGUGCAAAAGAAAAGCAACCGAUAUGUUGCCAGAGCGACCUUCAAAAAUUCAAAAAAAUUCAGAGCUCUUCAAAAUUGAAGAAGAAAAUUUAGAAAAGAAAGAUUUUAAAUAUGUGCGUCAGUCAAUGUAUAUGGAGAGAAUAGAACUGCAUCCGGCUCAACCUAAAAGUCAAGCAGAAUUUCACAGAAUAUUGGAUGAUAUUGGUGUUGUUAAACAAAGAUGAUGACUUUGUAUUGUGUAUCGAGUCAGAAAGCGGGAUAAUUUUAUUAGGAUGAUUGUUUCAUUGGCGCAAAUGAUACCUAUAGUUUUGAAAAUUAUGUGGCGCAAAAGAAGUAUUGGCGCAAUUAAGUUGUGGCGCAAAUGAGUUACUUUUUGGCGCAAAAAGAUAUCG
rnacentral:lncRNA from 1 species